rnacentral:ncRNA from 1 species
UUAACAUAUCGCGAAAUAUCAUUUUGAGGAAUUCUAACAGAGGUUUCUAUUGGUAGUGUAAGUUGGGCAAAGUGUCUUAUUUUUUUAAAGUAUGUAAAAGUAAAAUUACAUGUUAAUACGUAGUAUUAAUGGCGAGACUCCUGAGGGAGCAGUGCCAGUCGAAGACCGAGGCUGAGACGGCACCCUAGGAAAGCGAAGCCAUUCAAUACGAAGUAUUGUAU